rnacentral:lncRNA from 1 species
UCAACCUCCCGGGUUCAAGCGAUUCUCCUGCCUCAGCCUCCCCAGUAGCUGGGAUUACAGGCUCGCGCCACCACGCCUGGCUGAUUUUUGUAUUUUUAGUAGAGAUGGAGUUUCACCAUGUUGGCCAGGCUGGUCUUGAACUCCCGACCUCAGGCGAUCCACCCGCCUCAACCUCCCAAAGUGCUGGGAUUACAGGCGUGAGCCACUGCGCCUGGCCUAAAUUAUUAUUAUAUGUUUAUUUUGUUUUAAAUUAUUUUUAUAUUUUACAAUGGAGCUUCCUGACAUGUGACAAUGAUGCUACGGUUUUUUGUUGCUGUUUUUUUGUUUGUUUUUGAGAUAGAGUCUCACUCUGUCACCCAGGCUGGAGUGCAGUGGCACAAUCUCGGCUCACUGCAGCCUCUACCUCCCACGUUCAAGAGAUUCUCCUGCCUCAGACUCCCGAGUAGCUGGGAGAACAGGUGCCCACCACCACGCCUGGCUAAUUUUUUGUAUUUUUAGUAGAGACAGGGUUUUGCCAUGUUGGCCAGGCUGGUCUCAAACUCCCGACCUCAGGUGAUCCGCCACCUCGGCCUCCCAAAGUGCUGGGAUUACAGGCGUGAGUCACUGCGCCUGGCCAAUGACACUAUGCUUCACUGAACAAGCAAAAGGUACUCUGCUUCAGGAGGGAGGACAUGCCAUGAGCUCCCUUGUCUAGGCCCACACUGAGGUGACACGGCCCAAGUGCCCCAGCCCG